rnacentral:rRNA from 1 species
AUGUUAGCGGCGGACGGGUGAGUGACACGUGGAUAACCUACCUAUAAGACUGGGAUAACUUCGGGAAACCGGAGCUAAUACCGGAUAAUAUUUUGAACCGCAUGAUUCAAAAGUGAAAGACGGUCUUGCUGUCACUUAUAGAUGGAUCCGCGCUGCAUUAGCUAGUUGGUAAGGUAACGGCUUACCAAGGCAACGAUGCAUAGCCGACCUGAGAGGGUGAUCGGCCACACUGGAACUGAGACACGGUCCAGACUCCUACGGGAGGCAGCAGUAGGGAAUCUUCCGCAAUGGGCGAAAGCCUGACGGAGCAACGCCGCGUGAGUGAUGAAGGUCUUCGGAUCGUAAAACUCUGUUAUUAGGGAAGAACAUAUGUGUAAGUAACUGUGCACAUCUUGACGGUACCUAAUCAGAAAGCCACGGCUAACUACGUGCCAGCAGCCGCGGUAAUACGUAGGUGGCAAGCGUUAUCCGGAAUUAUUGGGCGUAAAGCGCGCGUAGGCGGUUUUUUAAGUCUGAUGUGAAAGCCCACGGCUCAACCGUGGAGGGUCAUUGGAAACUGGAAAACUUGAGUGCAGAAGAGGAAAGUGGAAUUCCAUGUGUAGCGGUGAAAUGCGCAGAGAUAUGGAGGAACACCAGUGGCGAAGGCGGCUUUCUGGUCUGUAACUGACGCUGAUGUGCGAAAGCGUGGGGAUCAAACAGGAUUAGAUACCCUGGUAGUCCACGCCGUAAACGAUGAGCGCUAAGUGUUGGGGGGUUUCCGCCCCUUAGUGCUGCAGCUAACGC